CAAUAUCCCUAACCUUAAUUCUGAGAAAUAAAGCUCAGUCGUGUCCAACUCUUUGCGACCCCAUGGACUAUAGCCUACCAGUCUCCUCAGUCCAUGGAACUUUCCAGGCAAGAGUACCGGAGUGGGUUGCCAUUUCGUUCUCCAGGGGAUCUACCUGACCCAGGGAUAGAACCCCAGUCUCCCACAUUGCAGGCAGACACUUUACUGUCUGAGCCACCAGGGAAGCCCUAACUUUUCCAGGCAUUUAUGAUACAUUUAGCAAAUGUAUUCAACAAAUGGGUCUGCCCUGGUGGCUCAGACAGUACAGAAUCUACUUGCAACGCACAAGACUCAGGUUCAAUCCCUGGGUCGGGAAGAUCCCUUGGAGAAGGAAAUGGCAACCCACUUCAAUAUUCUUGCCUGGAGAAUUCCAUGGAAUGAAGAGCCUGGCAGGCUACAGUCCAUGGGGUCACAAAGAGUCAUACAAGACUGAGCGACUACACUUUUCAACAAACAGUUCCUGUCUAUCAUAGCCACUCAAGAAAUCAUCUCUCAUGCUUUGUGAAUUUCCAGAGGCCUGGCAGAGGAAGCUUUGCUUUGCCACUAAUGUUCUUCUGUCCUGGAGGCUGCCCAGCAAGUGAAGGGGAUUUAAAAGGCCAUUCACACCCUACAGCAAGGACAUGUCUCCUCUCCCUCCCCAGGAAGAAUUCUCAAACUCUGAGAGCUUUCUGAUCACUUCAAGAGACCGCACCACACCUACUCCGCAUUUAUAUUAAUUGCACACCAGGCUAAAUGUUGACUUUCUACCUUCCAGGAUCACCUGAGUGGGCUCCCACUGAUAAACCCUGAAGAGAAACGUAAUCAACAAUAGAAAUCAACAAUCACAGGAAAGUCACUGGGUGACUGUGUGCAUGGACAGCUGAAAUGAUUCCAGCCUCUACCCCUUUAAACUCCAGGGAGCAUCAACCUUAGCCAUCAUCGAAAUCAGCACCAGCGUGGAGCAGGAAUGAAGGCACAGGACUAAAUUGCAAAUGACACAGCUUCUCACUUCAGCUCAU